rnacentral:pre_miRNA from 13 species
CUCUUGUUCACAGCCAAACUCUACUUGUCCUUCUGAGUGUAAUUACGUACAUGCAGUAGCUCAGGAGACAAGCAGGGUUACCCUGUGGAUGAGUCUGAAAA